rnacentral:tRNA from 1 species
GGGGCUGUAGCCCAGUUGGCUAGGCCACCUGCUCUGCAGGCAGGGGGUCGUGGGUUCGAGUCCCAUCAGCUCCA